UACGUAGGGGGCAAGCGUUGUCCGGAAUCAUUGGGCGUAAAGCGCGUGUAGGCGGCCCGGUAAGUCCGCUGUGAAAGUCCAGGGCUCAACCCUGGAAUGCCGGUGGAAACUGUCGGGCUAGAGUCCGGAAGAGGCGAGUGGAAUUCCUGGUGUAGCGGUGAAAUGCGCAGAUAUCAGGAAGAACACCCGUGGCGAAGGCGGCUCUCUGGGACGGUACUGACGCUGAGACGCGAAAGCGUGGGGAGCGAACAGG
rnacentral:rRNA from 1 species